rnacentral:rRNA from 1 species
UACGAAGGGUGCAAGCGUUAAUCGGAAUUACUGGGCGUAAAGCGUGCGUAGGCGGUUUCUUAAGUCUGCUGUGAAAUCCCCGGGCUCAACCUGGGAAUGGCAGUGGAUACUGGGAGGCUAGAGUGUGUCAGAGGAUGGUGGAAUUCCCGGUGUAGCGGUGAAAUGCGUAGAGAUCGGGAGGAACAUCAGUGGCGAAGGCGGCCAUCUGGGACAACACUGACGCUGAAGCACGAAAGCGUGGGGAGCAAACAGG